GGCCUUGCGGAUCUUCCGCUUGGCGUUGCCCUCCGUGCCCGGCGCGUACGGCUCCCGCUCGUUCGUCAGGUACCGCAGGAUGGCCAGUGGUCGAAUACUGGAAAAAGUGGCCCUAGGCGGUUGUGGAAUCUCUGUCCUUGGAGCUGCAUUCAAGACUCGGCUGCAUCUCAUCUAAAUCUCAUCUAAAUCUCAUCUAAACAGACACGCUUUGAACAGGGAGUUGGAGUGGAUGUCCUCUGGCGGUCCUUUUAAACCCCAAUUAUUUUGUGGGUCUGUGACAAACUCAGGCGCUCAAUUUUUUCUGACAAAUACUUGAUAGUGGAUCAAUUAUGUUGCAUUAGGUAAACACAAGGGCUUAUAUUAAUUUCCAUGAUAAUUCAUUGUAUUACAUCUAUGUUUGAGUUGAAUAACGUGCUGUUACACCAGGGUAAGGCCCUGCUCUUGAACAGCCUGCCUCACUCGAGGCAUAGCUUGUGAGAGGAGUAACCUGAUGGCCUGUUAUUCUUUAAUUCUCACUGUAUCAGUCAGAACUCAGGAAUAAACAUCAAGGAAGAGUAA